UCCCCCCUCCGUUGAUGAGCUAUGUGUUGUACUGCGCAACUGUCUGGGCCUCCGAGGAACCUUCAUCCUACAGUUUGAAGAUCCAGACUUUGGGAAUGAGCUCUGCAAUUUGACAGACAUAAAAGAACUACCAAUGGAACGAGCCUGAAAGUUGUGUUUACCUUUUCUGAACCAGUUUCUGACUCAACAUUAGAUACUGCAAGCAUUGGAUCCCCGAAUAGUUCUGAUUCAGCAGAGUGGCUUGACCCUUUUGUCAUUCCAGCUUUUUCACAUGAUGUUGAUCUUCAGCUGAGGGCAGCAAAUGAUGCUCAUGCCAAAGAUGGAACUGUGAUGGUCAUCUCAAAGAGUGUGAAGAGUGAAAUACUGGAUAGACUAGCUGAUAUCAUAUCCAAAAUCACGGCUUAUCCAAGUAAAGACCACUAUGAAAGUGUAGCCAAAGCUCUUGUUGCAAAGCACCCUUGUCUCAUGGAGCCAGGGUCGGGUAAAGGAUGGUAUUCAGCUUGAGAUUCAAGAUGGGCAAUUACCGACAGAAGAUGAUGGCAGCUGGAUGCCCUGAAGUUCUUGUAAAUAAAAGGAAACGGGGAGAGGGAAACAGCAAGCCAGUCAAGAAGUCAAAAAAGGGAGAGAUCCACUACUUGCCAGAGCCACCUGAGGGACAAACUGCUGACAAAUCAGAGAAGGAUCGCGAGUCCAUGCUUCUCGAAGUGCAGAAGAGGGAUCCAGAUCUACAGCUCCUGGAUGAAUUGAUGGUUGCAACAUUCUCGCAGCGAAGACAAGAGAUCAUUGGUGAUGAACCACUUAUCUCUGCAGUCAUGAACAGAUGGCCUGCUUUGUUUAGUGAGAGACAGCUAAGUUCAGAAGAAUUGUCACUAAAGACCUGGUAGAGUAGGAUGGACUAGAUGCCAUGAUGCCAAAGCUUUUGGAGCUGUACAAAGUUGCUGUUGCAUCAAGCAGGAGGCAGACCCUGAGCAGUGUUUUGCAGUGUCUUCAAAAGGAGGACACAAACCAAAACAAAAGAACUGCUGCCCUACUUGGUCUUCCCUGCUAUCUUUCAGAGGAUUCUUCCAACAUAAUCAGGAUGUGUGAU